CUCACAGCUGGACCAGAACCAUCUUCCUCUACGGAAGCUGCCUGACCUCAGGGUGGGCAAAGAGGUACUGACCCUGCCCUGCGGCCCAUGGCUGAGUGUUUACCUAGAAGUGGGGGCAGGCAGGCACCCAGGCAAUAGCAUUUAAGGAGGUUCUGGCUCUCAAGGUCCUGCAAAUGCCAACUUUGGGCUUGUGUGGAUAUGCAAAUGAGUGCUUCCUUAAAAGCUUCCUGCCCUAUUCCUGCCCUUACCUAGGGUUGAUUUAUAGAGGACCAAAAGACCUGGGGGUGGGGCAUUGGCAGCUGUUGGUCUUCAGAGUCUCACAGACAGGGGUUCAAAUCCUGAUUUUAGCCACUUAGUACCUGAGUGACCGUGGAUGGGUCUGUUCCUAUGCAUGGACUCAAUUUUCUCAUCUAUACAGCAGGGAUUAUAGAAUAAAAUCCACUUUCUCAGUAGUUAUGGAUGAGAAGAGUCGCAUGUAAAGUGCCUGGCACUCAGUAACUUAGCACUUAUUACCUUUUUUUUUUUUUUUAAGCUCAGAAAGAGGAAAUCAGGGGGUGGCAGAGAAUAAUGGCCGCAUGGGAAUCAAUGGGUGGUUCCCUGGAGCUCAGCAGGAUUGGUAAUUUCUCCUUGAAGCAAAGCCAGGAUGAGGCUGGGAGGGCAGAGCCCGGGGAUGCCACACCUCUGGGGUGGCCGGGAGCUCUGCCCCUCAUCUGCACACCACCCAGAUGGCUCCUGGUGGAGGAGCACUGCAAGGAGAGUCCACUCACUGAGGCACCUCCAUCCAAGCCAGAGACGAUUCAGAGGCUGAAGCUGAGAGAGGUCAAGGUGACCUGGCCACGGUGAUUACACAGCUCAGAGCGGCAGCAGGAAGUGGAGCCCAGAGGACCACUGAGAAGCUGCUGCCGCUUCCCCUGAUGGUGACUGAGUACGAGGUGCAGCGCAUAGGCAGGCUGGCCCGGACCCGGCUUCUCCUCCCAGCACGUUCACAGGUCACAGGCACACCUGUGACGCAGGGACUGCGAUUAGCAUCACUGUCAUCUGCCUGAGUGAACCAAGGCUAGGAGCAGUGAGCUAGCUGCCCAGGACUGCUGGGAGGAGAAGACCAGGCUGGGCUUGAAGACACACCAUCGUCACUGGGAGCAGAGAGCCAGGUUGGACAGAGGCGGAGACAUCACCAUCCACACCUGCUCUGUGGUGUGAUCCUGUGACAACGCCGUGCAUCUGCCAAAUCUCAUGUCCUCGUUCUUCGAGGCACAGAUGGCCCCUAGCAGUGACUGGAUUCCAACCAGGGACUGUAGGAGUGAGUGGUGAGUUCACUUCCGGGGAUGUACCCUAAGGAAAGAAUUCUGUGAUCCAGUGGCCGGAUGCAGUGCCCCAUGCCUUGAAUCCCACUACUCGAGGAGGCUAAGGCAGGAGGAUCACAAGUUUGAGCUCAGCCUGGGCAACUUAGUGACCUAGCGAAUCCCUGUCUUAAAAUAAAACAAAUUAAAAAGGGCUCAGUGUGGAGGCUUGAGUUUGAUCCCCACGCCCAAGAGCAUGCGCGCGCGCGCACACACACACACACACACACACACACACAAUGCCCUGACCCUCUGCCUCCUGAGCAGAUGAGGGAGGUGUCUC
rnacentral:lncRNA from 1 species